rnacentral:rRNA from 1 species
CCUACGGGGGGCAGCAGUAGGGAAUCUUCCACAAUGGGCGCAAGCCUGAUGGAGCAACACCGCGUGAGUGAAGAAGGGUUUCGGCUCGUAAAGCUCUGUUGUUGGAGAAGAACGUGCGUGAGAGUAACUGUUCACGCAGUGACGGUAUCAAACCAGAAAGUCACGGCUAACGACGUGCCAGCAGCCGCGGUAAUACGUAGGUGGCAAGCGUUAUCCGGAUUUAUUGGGCGUAAGGCGAGCGCGGGCGGUUGCUUAGGUCUGAUGUGAAAGCCUUCGGCUUAACCGAAGAAGUGCAUCGGAAACCGGGAAACUUGAGUGCAGAAGAGGACAGUGGAACUCCAUGUGUAGCGGUGGAAUGCGUAGAUAUAUGGAAGAACACCAGUGGCGAAGGCGGCUGUCUGGUCUGCAACUGACGCUGAGGCUCGAAAGCAUGGGUAGCGAACAGGAUUAGAUACCCCAGUAGUC